GCCGGGAAUGUACGGUAGCGGGAUGAAAGCAAGAAAGAAAGUAAAAAAAAGGAAGGAGAGAACCAUUUUUUUUUCAAUAAAACGUACCAUUAUUAUUCUUAU
rnacentral:ribozyme from 14 species